GCAUAAUAAAUCGCCCUUUAAUUGUGGGCUUGUAUGAACGGACAAACGAAGGCUUAACUGUCUCAAAUAUAAAAAUAAAAAUUGGCCUUUAGGUGAAAAGACCUAAAUAAAAUUAGAGGACAAAAAGACCCCGUAGAGCUCUGUACUUCUAUUUAAAGCACAACUUGUAAAAUUACAAAACAACUUUAAAAAAAGUUCUUGGCUGGGGCGGCUAUGGAGCAAAUAACCUCCACAAAUACAAAAAGAUACACAAAUCUUAUUAUAUGAUCCUAUAUUAGAUCAAAGAAACUAGCUACCUCGGGGAUAACAGAUUAAUCCCUUUUGAGAGUCCACAUUGACAAAGGGUUUUGACACCUCGAUGUUGGCUUAGGGUCUCCUGGGGGUCAGCAACAGCCCCUAAAGGUAGGUUUGUUCAACCUUUAAAACCCU
rnacentral:rRNA from 1 species